rnacentral:tRNA from 1 species
GAGCCCGAAGGGAGGCCUUGUUAUUUUUUAUGGAGUAACACUGUAAAUUACUAAAAUUGAUAUGGGUUUC